AACGAACGCUGGCGGCAUGCCUAACACAUGCAAGUCGAACGAGACCUUCGGGUCUAGUGGCGCACGGGUGCGUAACGCGUGGGAACCUGCCCUUAGGUUCGGAAUAACUCCCCGAAAGGGGUGCUAAUACCGGAUAAUGUCUUCGGACCAAAGAUUUAUCGCCUUUGGAUGGGCCCGCGUUGGAUUAGCUAGUUGGUAGGGUAAAAGCCUACCAAGGCGACGAUCCAUAGCUGGUCUGAGAGGAUGAUCAGCCACACUGGGACUGAGACACGGCCCAGACUCCUACGGGAGGCAGCAGUGGGGAAUAUUGGACAAUGAGCGAAAGCCUGAUCCAGCAAUGCCGCGUGAGUGAUGAAGGCCUUAGGGUUGUAAAGCUCUCUUACCCGGGAUGAUAAUGACAGUACCGGGAGAAUAAGCUCCGGCUAACUCCGUG
rnacentral:rRNA from 1 species